rnacentral:rRNA from 1 species
GACGAACGCUGGCGGCGUGCCUAACACAUGCAAGUCGAGCGAAUGAAGUUCCUUCGGGAAUGGAUUUAGCGGCGGACGGGUGAGUAACACGUGGGCAACCUGCCUCAUAGAGGGGAAUAGCCUUCCGAAAGGGAGAUUAAUACCGCAUAAGAUUGUAGUACCGCAUGAUACAGCAAUUAAAGGAGCAAUCCGCUAUGAGAUGGGCCCGCGGCGCAUUAGCGAGUUGGUGAGGUAACGGCUCACCAAGGCGACGAUGCGUAGCCGACCUGAGAGGGUGAUCGGCCACAUGGGGACGGAGACACGGCCCAGACGCCUACGGGAGGCAGCAGUGGGGAAUAUUGCACAAUGGGGGAAACCCUGAUGCAGCAACGCCGCGUGAGUGAUGACGGCCUUCGGGUUGUAAAGCUCUGUCUUCAGGGACGAUAAUGGCGGUACCUGAGGAGGAAGCCACGGCUAACUACGUGCCAGCCGCCGCGGUAAAAC